rnacentral:Y_RNA from 1 species
UGCUGGUCUGAAGGUAGUGAGUUAUCUCAUUUGAUUGUUCACAGUCACAGAUUGAACUGCUUGUUCUACUCUUUCCCCCUUCUCACUACUGCACUUGACAAGUCUAAA